rnacentral:misc_RNA from 1 species
GAGCAUGCAAGAUGGGGUGGUUCUCCUGGAAGUUCCUGAAACUGUUAGGUCAAAUGAUGAGGAUAUAGUCCCUGGGGAGUUGUAUUCAAAUGAACAGAUUCCUGAUCAUGUUAAAUCAGACAUGCUUGAUGGAGAGACUCCAUUGAGAACUUCCAGGGCUCUAAGCUUGAGGGAUGGAUCAGAAAAUGUCGACUCUGUAAAUGCACCUUCAUCUGAAGAACAAAUGCAAACUUUUAAUGGAGCUACAUUAAAGGUGUCUGCUCGAAACCUUCCGAUUGAAGUGCGUGAGAAUGUCAAUUCUAGUGGGAGCCUGGAGAACAUGGGAGCGCCUGAAAUUGCUUCUAGUGAAGCCAUUGAUGAUGGCAACAUUAUUCUUAGAGAGAAAGAUGAAGUUCAUGAUGUGACCUUUGAUAAUGCUGCUGGAGUUGAUCAGCAGGAUGGAGUGGUUGGUAUUGUUAAUCAAGAUCCAUACUCUAAUGCAACUGCUGGGGACCUGAAAAAUGGGAACGUUUCAUUAGGACUGCCAGAAAGUGGUUCCAAUAAAGUAGUGGGUGAUAA